rnacentral:rRNA from 1 species
CGGACGGGUGAGUAACGCGUGGAUAACCUGCCUCACACAGGGGGAUAACAGUUAGAAAUGACUGCUAAUACCGCAUAAGCGCACAGUCUCGCAUGGGACAGUGUGAAAAACUGAGGUGGUGUGAGAUGGAUCCGCGUCUGAUUAGGCAGUUGGCGGGGUAACGGCCCACCAAACCGACGAUCAGUAGCCGGCCUGAGAGGGUGAACGGCCACAUUGGGACUGAGACACGGCCCAAACUCCUACGGAAGGCAGCAG